rnacentral:rRNA from 1 species
GACGAACGCUGGCGGCGUGCCUAAUACAUGCAAGUAGAACGCUGACGGCGGAGCUUGCUUCUCUGGAUGAGUUGCGAACGGGUGAGUAACGCUUAGGUAACCUGCCUGGUCGCGGGGGUUACCUAUUGGAAACGAUAGCUAAUACCGCAUAAGAGUAGUUGUUGCAUGACAUUUGCUUAAAAGGUUCAAUUGCAUCACUACCAGAUGGACCUGCGUUGUAUUAGCUAGGUGGUGGGGUAACGGCUCACCAAGGCGACGAUACAUAGCCGACCUGCGAGGGUGAUCGGCCGCACUGGGACUGAGACAGGGCACAGAAUCCUACGGGAGGGAGCCGGAGGGAAUCUUGGGGAAUGGACGGAGUGCGGAACGAGCAACGCCGGGUGAGUGAAGAAGGUUGUCGGGUCGUGAAGGUCUGGUGUAAGGGAAGAACGAGUGUGAGAGUGGAAAGUGCAGACAGUGACGGUAUCUGACCAGAAAGCGACGGCUAACUACGUG